rnacentral:rRNA from 2 species
AACGAACGCUGGCGGCAGGCUUAACACAUGCAAGUCGAGCGCCCCGCAAGGGGAGCGGCAGACGGGUGAGUAACGCGUGGGGAUCUACCUUUUGCUACGGAAUAACGCAGGGAAACUUGUGCUAAUACCGUAUGUGUCCUUCGGGAGAAAGAUUUAUCGGCAAGAGAUGAGCCCGCGUUGGAUUAGCUAGUUGGUGGGGUAAAGGCCUACCAAGGCGACGAUCCAUAGCUGGUCUGAGAGGAUGAUCAGCCACAUUGGGACUGAGACACGGCCCAAACUCCUACGGGAGGCAGCAGUGGGGAAUAUUGGACAAUGGGCGCAAGCCUGAUCCAGCCAUGCCGCGUGAGUGAUGAAGGCCCUAGGGUUGUAAAGCUCUUUCACCNGGAGAAGAUAAUGACGGUAUCCGGAGAAGAAG